rnacentral:rRNA from 2 species
UUAAAUGGCUGCAGUAAUUUGACUGUACAAAGGUAGCAUAGUCAUUAGUUUUUUAAUUAAAAGCUUGAAUGAAAGGUUGGACGAAGUAAAAUCUGUCUCUUUAUAAUAUAAUUAGAAUUUAAUUUUUAAGUUAAAAAGCUUAAAUUUUUAUAAAAGACGAGAAGACCCUAUAGAGUUUAAUAAUUUUUUAGAAAUAAUUUAUUUGGGUUAUUUAUUUUUAUUUUUGAUAAAUUAUUUUAUUGGGGUAAUAAUAAGAUUUAAGUAAUUCUUUUUUUUUUUCCAUUAAUUUAUGAAAUAUAUGAUCCAUUUUUUAUGAUUGUAAG